AUUGAACGCUGGCGGCAGGCUUAACACAUGCAAGUCGAGCGGAGAUGAGGUGCUUGCACCUUAUCUUAGCGGCGGACGGGUGAGUAAUGCUUAGGAAUCUGCCUAUUAGUGGGGGACAACAUUCCGAAAGGAAUGCUAAUACCGCAUACGUCCUACGGGAGAAAGCAGGGGAUCUUCGGACCUUGAGCUAAUAGAUGAGCCUAAGUCGGAUGAGCUAGUUGGUGGGGUAAAGGCCUACCAAGGCGACGAUCUGUAGCGGGUCUGGGAGGAUGAUCCGCCACACUGGGACUGAGACACGGCCCAGACUCCUACGGGAGGCAGCAGUGGGGAAUAUUGGACAAUGGGGGGAACCCUGAUCCAGCCAUGCCGCGUGUGUGAAGAAGGCCUUAUGGUUGUAAAGCACUUUAAGCGAGGAGGAGGCUACUGAGACUAAUACUCUUGGAUAGUGGACGUUACUCGCAGAAUAAGCACCGGCUAACUCUGUGCCAGCCGCCGCCGUAAAAC
rnacentral:rRNA from 1 species